AGGGGGAUCUGCCCAACGCCGUAGCCACAGUAGUGGCCCCAGGCAGCGAUGAACACUGUUCAGCCAUUUCAGUGUGAUCAGGAAAAUGAGGAGAGAGAGGACGAAACAAGAAAUGAGGAUGAAGAUGACAGGGUUCGUGCUGCCCGUUCGACAACGGCUAAUUGAAAGAGGAUGUGGGUCACGGGCGUGCUGGAGCCUAGCCCAGCUAUCUUCGGGCGAGAGGCAGGCUACACCCUGAACUGGUCGCCAGAACAUCUGGAUGUUGUAAAGAGUUGGAUCAUCUUCCAGAGGAGCCAGUUGCUGGAGACACAGCUGCUCGCAACCUCCAUUGAAACCAUCAGAGCAAUCAAUGCCAAUGUGGUGGUCAUAGCAUCCACUCCCAUCUUUCAUAGGACUCAACCCUGGGGGGCACUGAAGGAGAAGUGUUGUAAAACAAUUCAGUCAAAUCUUUCUUUUUGUUUUUACUGGCAUAUGAGACACAAAUAUACAAAGAUUCCAAACGAUCACUAAUCCCAGGUGACCUACAGUAUGAACAAAUCCAGUAACGCUUGUGCCAGUCAUUUCACUUCCCAUUUGUGUGAACUGUCUCCAAAGCUGUUUGGUAUAAAAUCCACACAUCUUUAACGGCUAUAAUGAAUCUUUAGUAGCACUUGUGAAAAUAACUGCAAACAAGCAAUAAUGAUCCUUAGUCAAAAUGGAAAUUUAAAUUUCACAUAAAAUAUCUCUGUAUUAUUCUUGAAGGACAAAAAAUAUACAGUCGUCGUUUCAUUCUUUUUUGUUCAUUUGUAUUGAGAAGGUAGUUCUUCCUCGCAUACUCGAUUGAAAAAAACAUUUUUCAUAGCAAGGCUAAGGUGAGAUUUGGCAUCAUAUUAUUGGGAAAGUGCAGAAUUGUUUUCAAGAGAGGAACACGGUUUUAGUGAGAAAUGUUAGCGAGUAAUGUAACUCUUUAUAGGGUGCAAAUAGUUGUCUGACAUAUCAAGAAUAGUAGGAUCGUCUUUACAUCUUCUCUUGACCAAUAAAUCCCACCACUUCUUGGCGCCACCAUACAUCACCGACCUUGCCAUCCCUACACCCCUGCCCGAAAGAUGCGCUCAUCUGGCGCUGGCCUGCUCCCAAUCCCAGACAGGCAGGGCUUUCUGCAUCACCCCCAACCCCCGGAACCAUGUGAUGCUGAAUCCCAGGAGAUUUCAAGAAAAACUCCUGAAGCACCACCAAAGCAUACCACCAGUAACAGGAAUACACACACACACACACACACGUGUAUCUGCAGUUUUUUUUUUAUUAUUUUCUUUUUUUUUACAAAUGAGUGACCAAUCUAUAGUGUUGACACUGGCUUGCUCUCUUUGAUGGAUGCCUUUCUGAAAAGACUUUUGGAGAUGCCAGGAUUCCGACCAAUGCCACUGAUAGCUAGCUAGCUAGAUAGAUCGAUCGAUCGAUAGAUACUGUACAUCCAUACAUUCAAGACAAAAACUUUAAAAUCCCAUUUUCUUGAGACAGAUGAAUUUAUCUUCAUACUGUAAUUUCCAGACUACAUAAAAGCUGUGAGAUACAUACAUGAAGAAAAACCUUUAAAGCCCAGCCACGGUGACUUGUGAAGUAUUCAAGUUUUGAGCAACCAUUUGAAGUGCUGCAAGACCUGACUUCUCCUUGGUUUCCUACUUUGCAAUCGUGCUCAGUAUUUCCCUAACAUUUUUUUUCCCACAAACCUGUGAAGUCAAAUUCACAUUAUGUUUCCUGUCAGCUAUCACUUCAAAGAAAACUUGGAGUACAUUUUAACAAGGCAAUCCUACCUUCUGAACAGUAGGCAAGGGAGACAGCUUUCUUGAAGCACAGAGGUAUAACUAACACCUUUUUUUGGUGUUGUUUUUGUGUUGACUACUCUAUACUCAGAUAUUAUUUUUAUAUAGAACAUUGUUUGGCACGCUGUUGGUGCUGAAAGCAGUUUUCCCCAUUUGCGCCCUGCCCACCUCCUUUUGGCCACAGCCGUGCUCACCAUCAGAUAAUCGCAAUAAACGAUAGUAGCAGACAAGACAAACACCUUCAAACAAAAUGGUGUAUGAGCUGGAGCCUAUCCCAGUGGGUUUUAGGUGAGAGGCGGGGUACAUCUCGCACUGGUCGCCAGCCAAUCGCAGAGCACAUAUAGACGAACAACCACUCAUACUUACGUUGACUUUAGAGUCUUCAAUUAACCUAACAUGCAUGUUUUUGGAAUAUGGGAGGAAGCACAGGGGAGCCUAUGACAGGGAAGUGAUUGACUGUCAGGCAGUAGUGCUAACCACCCGCUCACCGUGCUGCUAAAUGUAUGAGUGCCUUCACUUACAAGUUUUUAGAGAUACGAGCCACCGCUUGGUUGAUUUAUGUCUUGAGCUAUGAGCACAUAUUUGAGAUAGUGUGCUAUUCAGACUCCCACCGCAAAACUUCAGUUCACCAUCAAUACACAUUGGUUUCCUUGCAUUGGAAGGACAAUAUCAGUUGGUGCACACCGCGUACACCAUUAAGGGUUGCCGACUGCCAAAAGUCACCACAGAAGAUGAAGACCGAGGAAGGACAAUACAUUAAGUACAGCUGUGUUUUGUGCACGCAUUUCCCAUGCUACUGUGUGUGCACAGCAAAUGUUAGUUAUGUGUUUUUACACAGUACAACAUUACUGUUGAGUGAAAUUUCUCCUCAGAAAAAUGAAUUUGGGUGUUUUGGGGGUGCUGGAAUGGAUUCACUGCAGUUAUAUUAAUUUUAUAGGGAAAGAUGACUUUGAUGAUGUUAUGUGUUUGAGAUACGAGCGUUGUCACGGUAAAAAAAUAAUCUCGUAUCUCAAGGCACCUAUUGUAUAUUAUAAUGACUAAUCUCAGUUAAACAAAAUAACCAUUGUAUCAGAUUGUUUAAAAGCUGGACAGUGUUUGAAGUGUAUGGUCUGUAGCGUAAUUUAGGAGCAAUAGUCUGCACUCAAGAAACCCCCUUGAAGUACCAUGCCUUUUAAUCCUCUUUUUCAAUGGAGAUAAAUUCCUACAGCGCUUUUGGAGCUUAAGGAAAUCAGCACUGUGCCACUGCCAAGCAGCAACAAAUCACCACGAGAGGAGUUGGAUAAACUGAACACGUUUCGAAGUUGUCUGAUUGGUAGAUCAAUGACGAGGCACAUAGAUUGAGAAACUGAGACAUGGAGACCCAAUUACUCCUGAAACUACAUUACUCAUUUGAUUUACAGUAUGUACAUGCUGCAUGUAAUGUAAUAAAUCUGGUAAACCUACAUACAUAGAUCAUUUUACACUUGAGGCAACGUGAAUCCCAGGAUGCACAUGUUUGGAAACAAUGAGUCCCUGACCUGGAACAAUGAGUCCCUGUAAUGUAUCAUCUCGGAUUACAGAUACAGUAAUCCUCCACGAUAUGAUGGUUGUUGCUUCGCGGUCCUGCCAUAUUGCAGAUUUUUAAUUGUACAAUUUGUACCAUAUUUUUGUGUUACCCAUUGCUCUCGCUCUCUCUCAAUAUAUUAUGUUUCAGCCUGUGAUGAAAGCAAAUUUUUUAGGAUGAUAUAUUUUCCCCAAAUCUAUCACGAUAAACGAUA